UCCAUCCCCCAGAAGAUGAUGCAGCAACUUCUAGAUAGCAUUAUCGAGCAGCAGGAAGAGAAGGAACUUGUAAGGAGUACUUCAGGUGGAUUUGCUGAGGGGAGAUCACGACAGACCAACAAGGUAGCCUUGUGUGUUGUUGGUACUGUUUUGGUUUUGAGAGAAGGCUGGAGGAUGUCGCCGGGGGAACAUGGCUACUGCUACAAAUAUCUGUAGUGCAGGAGUCUAGCCGAUGGAGAUGGGCUCAUCUGCAGAGCAAUGGGAGCAGCUUUGAAGGACUUGCACUGCAGAAGCUCUAUACAAAGGGAAGGAAGAAUGACUUCACCGUGUGAGCGACAGAAUAGGCUGCAGAGUCUGCUCCUCUGGGGCCGUUCCGGUCGCUUUCCUGGGCGAUGGGCGGCUUCAGCAAGGGAGCGGGACGGUUGUGAUGCCUGUGGCUCUGUAAUGGUGUUUAUUUUGCAGGGUGAGGGCUGCAACAGGUGCCGGUCAGAGGAUGUUGACGGAGGUCUUCCUACAGGUCUGGAGUGAGGCCUGAAAGAGUGGCAGAUCUUGGGGAUCUACUACAGGAGGAAGGGAGUUGGAGGAGCGAGAGGUGAAGCGGAGCACUCCAGAGUUGGGUUCUUCUUUCAGCGCCGGUGCCUCAAGAGCAAGGUUGCGAUACUGGCGUACGUGGAAGUGGCAGAGCUUACAGGUUUGCAUCAAGAAGAACAUCUAUGAGUAGCUCUUCCUAUUUCCAUGUGCUUCCCCCAAAAACUGGUAACAUCUAAGGUUGCUUCCAGGUGCUGGGAAGCAGGCGAUGAUGCAUCUGUUUUCUUAGAAGAUUUCUCAUUAUUUUUGGAAACACUGCUUUUACCAAAGGCAAGAAUGCUCUGUUAGGAAUCUAUAUUACUAACAUGGACUACAAUGGAAUGGCUGAAUGCAGUUACCUUAAGUUUUUGUGGAGGCCUAUUUGUCUUCAAAAUAACAAAACUAAAACUUCUGACUUUA